rnacentral:lncRNA from 10 species
GCAACAGAGUGAGACUCUGUCUCAAAAAAAAAAGAAAAAAAAGAAAAGAUGUUCUGAUGGUGAUACUGAUAAAUUUUUAGUUGGUUUAACUUUUUGGGUUUUGUAAAUUAAUAAAUUAGGUAAUUGUGUUUGUAUAUUAUUUGUAUGUAUAGAAUUCCCCCUCAUAAUCUAUUGUACUGUAAUAAAUCUGCUAAAAGGUUACCUUAGAAACAUUA